rnacentral:rRNA from 1 species
AGAAUCAACGCUGGCGGCGUGCCUAACACAUGCAAGUCGCACGAGAAAGGGGCUUCGGCCCUGAGUAAAGUGGCGCACGGGUGAGUAACACGUGAAUGAUCUACCUCCGAGUGGGGAAUAACUGAGAGAAAUCUUAGCUAAUACCGCAUAACACUUACGAGUCAAAGCAGCAAUGCGCUUGGAGAGGAGUUCGCGGCAGAUUAGUUAGUUGGCGGGGUAAUGGCCCACCAAGACGAUGAUCUGUAUCCGGCCUGAGAGGGCGCACGGACACACUGGAACUGAAACACGGUCCAGACUCCUACGGGAGGCAGCAGUGGGGAAUUUUGCGCAAUGGGGGAAACCCUGACGCAGCAACGCCGCGUGGAGGAUGAAGUAUCUCGGUACGUAAACUCCUUUCGAUGGGAAGAUGAUGACGGUACCAUAGAAGAAGCCCGGCUAACUCGUGCCAGCAGCCGC